rnacentral:rRNA from 1 species
UACAGAGGGUGCGAGCGUUGUUCGGAAUUAUUGGGCGUAAAGGGUGCGUAGGUGGCGGGGUAAGUCAGGUGUGAAAUCUCGGAGCUCAACUCCGAAACUGCACUUGAUACUGCCUUGCUGGAGUACUGGAGAGGAGAUUGGAAUUUACGGUGUAGCAGUGAAAUGCGUAGAUAUCGUAAGGAAGACCAGUGGCGAAGGCGAAUCUCUGGACAGUUACUGACACUGAGGCACGAAGGCCAGGGGAGCAAACGGG